CCUACGGGUGGCAGCAGUGGGGAAUAUUGGGCAAUGGGCGCAAGCCUGACCCAGCAACGCCGCGUGAAGGAAGAAGGCUUUCGGGUUGUAAACUUCUUUUCUGAGGGACGAAGAAAGUGACGGUACCUCAGGAAUAAGCCACGGCUAAAUACGUGCCAGCAGCCGCGGUAAUACGUAGGUGGCAAGCGUUAUCCGGAUUUAUUGGGUGUAAAGGGCGUGUAGGCGGGAAAGCAAGUCAGAUGUGAAACCUCAGGGCUCAACCCUGAACCUGCAUUUGAAACUGUUUUUCUUGAGUGCUGGAGAGGCAGACGGAAUGCCGUGUGUAGCGGUGAAAUGCGUAGAUAUAAGGAGGAACACCAGUGGCGAAGGCGGAUUGCUGGACAGUAACUGACGCUGAGGCGCGAAAGCGUGGGGAGCAAACAGGAUUAGAUACCCUGGUAGUC
rnacentral:rRNA from 1 species